AUGUCCAUAUUUCUUCUAUCCAAAACUAUACUUGCUAGGAUUGACAAGUGUAGAAGAAGAUUCUUUUGGCAUGUGACUCAGAAUAAGAAACGCUAUUAUCUGGUUAAGUGGACUAGAAUAUGCAGAUAUAAGAACAAAGGAGGGCUGGGUGUGAAGGAUUUACAUAAACAAAAUCUCAAUUUGCUUACUAAAUGGUGGUGGAAAUUAGAAACUAAAUCAGGCUUGUGGCAGGAUACUGUGAAAGCCAAAUAUUUUAGUAGGGCCACAGUGGCUGAUAUUAAAAUGAAGAGCAAUGACUCGCCAUGCUGA
rnacentral:rRNA from 1 species